rnacentral:rRNA from 1 species
AACGAACGCUGGCGGCAUGCCUAACACAUGCAAGUCGAACGAGACCUCCGGGUCUAGUGGCGCACGGGUGCGUAACGCGUGGGAACCUGCCCUUAGGUUCGGAAUAACUCCCCGAAAGGGGUGCUAAUACCGGAUAAUGUCUUCGGACCAAAGAUUUAUUGCCUUUGGAUGGGCCCGCGUUGGAUUCGCUGGUUGGUAGGGUAAUAGCCUGCCAAGGCGCCGAUCCAUAGCUGGUAUGAGAGGAUGAUCAGCCACACUGGGGCUGAGACACGGCCCAGACUCCUACGGGAGGCAGCAGUGGGGGAUAGUGGACAAUGGGCGAAAGCCUGAUCCAGCAAUGCCGGGUGAGUGAUGAAGGCCUUAGGGUAGUAAAGCUCUUUUACCCGGGAUGAUAAUGACAGUACCGGGAGAAUAAGCUCCGGCUAACUCCGUG